GACUUUUUAUUAAUUUUUAUAUAUUAUAAAAUUAGUUAUAUUAUGAUAAUUUUUAGUAUAUUUCUUCAGAAAUAAUGUUCUUUAUUAACUGAGAAGGAAUAAUAAAAAAUUUAUUAGUAUUAUUUUUGAGUACCUUUUGUAUCAGGGUAAAUUUAAUUAUUUAAUUAUUUUAUUUUCCCGAACUUAAGAGAUCUAUAAAUUUAUAUAACCAUUUGUUGAAAAAAAUUUUAUAAUAUUUUUAUUGUAAUUAAAUGUUUACGUUCUUGAUUUAUCUGGUUGUUAAGGAUUUAAUUUAAUUAUAUAUUUAUUUUUUAGUUAUGUUACUUUAACAGUUAUUAAAUAUAAUUUUAUUAGGGAUAAUCUUAAUAAGUUUAUUAUAAUAUUUAUUUGUAAGGUGUUUAUUUUCUUUAAAAUUUUGAAUUGAGUUUUUAUUAAAUUAAUAUUUAUAUAUAUUAUUUUAUUAUAUUUAUUUUUAUACUUAAUUUUUUUAUGUAAUUUUAUUAUUUAAUUAAUAAUGAUUUAAUUAAUAUAGUGUUUCAAUUAGAUUAUAAUGAACUCGACAACUAUUAUUUCCAACUGUUUAUCAAAAACAUUUCUUUCUGAGUUAAAUAAAAGGUAUUUUCUGCCCUAUGAAAAAUUAAUUUAAAUGGCUGCAGUAUUUUGACUGUACAAAGGUAGCAUAAUAAUUAGUUUCUUAAUUAGAAGCUGGUAUGAAUGGAUAAAUGAGAUUUAAUUUUUAUUUAGUUUAUUUACUAAAAUUUAAAUUUUAAGUUAAAAUGCUUAAAUGAUUUCUUGGGACGAGAAGACCCUAAAGAGUUUUAUUUAUAAUAUUACUAUUAUCUUUAAAAUUAAAUAGUUAAUAAUAAUUUAUGUUAUUUUUUGCUGGGGCGGCUAUUAAAUUUUAACUUUAAUUUUAUAAUUCAUUAAUUUAUGUUUAUUAAGAUCUUUUGUUAAGGAUUAUAAGUUAAAAUUACCUUAGGGAUAACAGCGUAAUUUUAAUGGAGAGUUCAUAUCUAUAUUAAAUUUUGCGACCUCGAUGUUGAAUUAAGAAAAAUUUAAGAAGCAGAGUUCUUAAUUUUAAGUCUGUUCGACUUUUAGAUUCUUACAUGAUUUGAGUUCAGACCGGUGUGAGCCAGGUUGGUUUCUAUCUUAGGUAUAAUAGAUUAUUUUAGUACGAAAGGACCAAUUGAUCAUACAUUAAUUGUAUUUAUAAUUUGAAU
rnacentral:rRNA from 1 species